rnacentral:rRNA from 1 species
CGAACGGAACCGCAAGGUUCAGUGGCGGACGGGUGAGUAACGCGUGGGCAACCUGCCCUGAAGAUUGGGAUAACACUCCGAAAGGAGUGCUAAUACCGGAUGUAGUCACGAGGUCGCAUGACCUCUUGAAAAAAGGAGAAAUCCACUUCAGGAUGGGCCCGCGUCUGAUUAGCUAGUUGGUGGGGUAAAGGCCUACCAAGGCGACGAUCAGUAGCCGACCUGAGAGGGUGAUCGGCCACACUGGGACUGAGACACGGCCCAGACUCCUACGGGAGGCAGCAGUCGGGAAUAUUGGGCAAUGGACGAAAGUCUGACCCAGCAAUGCCGCGUGAGUGACGAAGGUCUUCGGAUCGUAAAGCUCUGUCUUCAGGGACGAAAAAAGUGACGGUACCUGAGGAGGAAGCCCCGGCUAACUACGUGCCAGCAGCCGCGGUAAUACGUAGGGGGCGAGCGUUGUCCGGAAUUACUGGGCGUAAAGGGCGAGUAGGCGGCUAUACAAGUCAGAUGUGAAAUACAGGGGCUCAACCCCUGGACUGCAUUUGAAACUGUAUAGCUUGAGUGCAGGAGAGGAAAGUGGAAUUCCCAGUGUAGCGGUGAAAUGCGUAGAUAUUGGGAGGAACACCAGUGGCGAAGGCGACUUUCUGGACUGUAACUGACGCUGAGGCGCGAAAGCGUGGGGAGCAAACAGGAUUAGAUACCCUGGUAGUCCACGCCGUAAACGAUGAGUGCUAGGUGUAGAGGGUAUCGACCCCUUCUGUGCCGCAGUUAACACAAUAAGCACUCCGCCUGGGGAGUACGGUCGCAAGACUGAAACUCAAAGGAAUUGACGGGGGCCCGCACAAGCAGCGGAGCAUGUGGUUUAAUUCGACGCNACGCGAAGAACCUUACCAGGACUUGACAUCCCUCGCUAGUCUUAGAAAUGA